GACGAACGCUGGCGGCGUGCUUAACACAUGCAAGUCGAACGGAAAGGCCCUGCUUUUGUGGGGUGCUCGAGUGGCGAACGGGUGAGUAACACGUGAGUAACCUGCCCUUGACUUUGGGAUAACUUCAGGAAACUGGGGCUAAUACCGGAUAUGAGCUCCUGCUGCAUGGUGGGUGUUGGAAAGUUUCGGCGGUUGGGGAUGGACUGGCGGCUUAUCAGCUUGUUGGUGGGGUAGUGGCUUACCAAGGCUUUGACGGGUAGCCGGCCUGAGAGGGUGACCGGCCACAUUGGGACUGAGAUACGGCCCAGACUCCUACGGGAGGAAGCAGUGGGGAAUAUUGCACAAUGGGCGGAAGCCUGAUGCAGCAACGCCGCGUGCGGGAUGACGGCCUUCGGGUUGUAAACCGCUUUCGCCUGUGACGAAGCGUGAGUGACGGUAAUGGGUAAAGAAGCACCGGCUAACUACGUG
rnacentral:rRNA from 1 species